GAGAACUUCUAAAACUCUGCAAGAAAUUAUAUCAAUAAUUUCAAAAUUUGCUGGACCUGCAACCAAUAUAAAGGAGUACAGUCUUCACAAUCCUGCUGGGUUUUGGAGCAAUGUCUGUAAAGAUUUGCAAGUGCCAAAUACACUUACAAAUCGCCAGAAAAUUCUUCAGGCAUACCUGCUUCGAUUCAAGGUAAUUUAUCAAUUGUAUAGACUUACAAAUGUCUCUAAAAAAUGUUUUUGUGUAGUUUACAGUAGUUACUGAUAUUAAAAUUGAAGCCAUUGUUAGGCCACAGAUUAACCAGAACUAUACAAAUUCAUAUUUAGCCAUUAAUUUAACAUGCAUUUUACUUUAAAUAUGUUUCAAACAAUUACAAAUGAACACAUUUUGGAAAAUAAUGAAGUUGUUACUUCACACACCUCUAAAAUGGCAGUUAUUGUUACUUUUAUUGAUUUCUGCAUUUCUGUACCAAGUUAUUUUCCUUUGGAAAAAAAUAAGUUAGACAGAACUAGCCAAGUUAACAUUCAUCAAGUAAAAUUUGCAUCCACUAACACUGAUUGUAACUUUCGCCUAACAUUUAUUUGCUGAUAUUAUCAUAGAAGUUGAUUCCAAUGUGAGUAUCAUUUUUGUUUAUCCAUCCAUUGCUUUUCAUAGCAUUAUGUUUAAGCAUUAAUGCCACAUGUAAUGCAAUUCAUUACCUAAUUUAAUAUUUUUCCAUAACAUUCAAAUACUUAGGAUGGUGAGUUGUCUCUAUGCCACAAGGAAGAGCCUGAAUGUCCAUCUUUCAGUCUGGUGACAUUUUAUGUUUCAUUUGCUUUCCAUUUGGUGUCUACUUUGUUUGACUUUGUUUGAGAAAUGACCCCAGCCUCUCUGUCUUUCCAGGAUGUGCGGGACACAAAGGCCGACAGUGAUGUAGUCUGUAGUCCUGUAACAGAUAACUUGGAAUCAAACUGUGCUUCCGCCACAUCUGACUUCACGGAGCAUCAGCAGGAGGACACAAAAAGAAGUACCACUCAAAGAACCAAUGAUGCUCAAUCGCAGCUAGCUGCAUUGUGGGGCAAAAAUAACACAGAAGUGGUCGUUUCUGUGGUCCUUUCUCAAUUUAGAAAGAGAUUAUUAGUCCACCACAGUGAGUUACUAUCACUUACACCUCAUAACUGGCUCACAGGCGAGGUAUGUAGGGCAAACAGUGCAGCAGCAUGAUCAUGAAAAUAUACUUAAAAAUGCACAAAUGUAGUGUUAAAUAGUCGCAGUGACUUGUUAUCAUUUUUGGGGCUUUGAGCUCUCUGUUCCUGUUCAAAAGUUUUUAAUGUAAAUAUUGUAAUGUCAUGAUUUCUGAUGUACUGAUUGAUGUUAGGUCAUUGAGUAUUUCUUACAUCACACUGUCAGUCGACUGCAUUUGGAGAAAACCAUCUAUGUCUUGGACCACUACACAGCUUCUGUGAUCCUCUUUGAGGACAGAAGUGCAGUCAGGAAGCAUAGUUUGCCAAAGAAAAUUUUUUUUAUGUCUUGAUUCUGAAGAGUUGGAUUCUGAAAUACACUGCUACUUCAAUAUAUGUAUAUAUAUAUAUUUCAAGUGGUUUAUGAAGUUGUUCAUUAAUAUUAUUCUGUGACAUUUUCAAUGAUUUAAAGGAUUUCCUCAGGUGACAGUUGAAUAGCAUAGAAUUACAUGUCUAGAACAUGAUCUGUCCUUGGUUGGAGAAAAGCACCCAACAUGUUAAAACAUACAUAUACUCUUCUUUGACAGCUUAGGUCAUUAGGGCCUCUCAUGUACAUGACCAAUUUACAGUUUACUUUAUUCUUCAAAUUUCCAAAUAAAAAAUAAAUAAAUAAACUUUAGUCAGAAACCUCUGGUAGAAUAAAAGUACUUCAUAUCUGAAUGUUUUGGGGAAGUUACUGAUUAGAGCUUGGAUUUGAACAACCCAGCCUUGAAGAAGUUGCAUUUUUCUCUAUGUAUGUGUGUUAUUGUCUGUCUGUUCAGGACCUGUCUCCUGUCAAAACGAAUGUGCUAUAUAAAUAAAUGUGUCUUGCCUGUAAAGUAUUAAAUAACAGAACUUU